GCCGGAAGAGAAAGGACAAGAUUCACAGAGAAACCGGUCAGAGUGGAUGAGCUACGGCCUUGGUCUGAGCUUCCUACGGAAUUCCAGGAGCUCAUUGUGUCCUGUCUGUGCCUUGAAGAUUAUGUCCGCUGGUCCUGUGUGUGUAAGGAAUGGUGAAAUGUUUCCCGUUCACUCAGUGUAGUAAACCAAUUCCCAUGGCUUUUGUUCUCCCCAAUUAAUAAUGGAAAAAUCAAGUUCUUUGAUCC